CUCAACAGCCCAAGACUGGUUGCCCACUGAAGCUAAGCAGGGUUGAGCCUGGUUAGUACCUGGAUGGGAGACCUCCUGGGAAAACUAGGUUGCAGUUGGAA
rnacentral:rRNA from 1 species